rnacentral:rRNA from 1 species
CAGCCGCCACGGUAAUACGAAGGGUGCAAGCGUUAAUCGGAAUUACUGGGCGUAAAGAGCUCGUAGGCGGUUUGUCGCGUCUGCCGUGAAAGUCCGGGGCUCAACCCCGGAUCUGCGGUGGGUACGGGCAGACUAGAGUGAUGUAGGGGAGACUGGAAUUCCUGGUGUAGCGGUGAAAUGCGCAGAUAACAGGAGGAACACCGAUGGCGAAGGCAGGUCUCUGGGCAUUAACUGACGCUGAGGAGCGAAAGCAUGGGGAGCGAACAGGAUUAGAUACCCGUGUAGUCCCUGUCUCUUAUAC